CUUAUCAGUUCUAGGAGCUUUCUGGAGGAGUCUUUAGGGUUUUCGAGGUAAACGUUCAUAUCAUCAGCAAACAGUGACAGUUUCACUUCCUGUUUACCAAUCUGGAUGCUCUUUAUUUCUUUCUCUUGUUCUAUUGCUCUGGCUGGGACUUCCAGUACUACGUUGAAGAAGAGUGGUGAGAGUGGGCACCCUUGUCUUGUUCCAGUUCUCAGAGGGAAUGCUUUCAACUUUUCGCCAUUCAGUAUUAUGUUGACUCUGGGUUUGUCAUAGAUGGCUUUUAUUACAUCGAGGAGGGGAUUUGACAAGAUGAGGGCUCAGCAGACUAAAGGGUCAAAGUCAGCCUGGUGCCUGUUUUAGUAUCCCUGCAAGGUGGGCAUAUUCAGCCUUGAGCAGUGGAAGAUACCAAGUGAUACAGUUUGAAUGACCCAGAAAGGCACUCUCCAUUUUGUAUCCCCCCUUAGCCCUCCAUUACUCCUCUUGAUCAAGAAGUUGGCAUUUGGAGUUAUGGAAUUGUCUCCAGGAUCCCCUAUCAGAACGAGAUUCUCUUGCUGGGGAAAGUAAAUGCCCUGCCAGUGGUGUUUCUGGAGGCAUUGCGCACUGAAUCUCCAUCUGCUCCCACACAUCUCAGCCCUGGCCCCUGAGCAGGGCCAUGUGACCAGUUCUAGUCAAUUAAAACUCCAACUACAAAUCUCCAGUUCUUUCUCCCCUUGCCUUUGCCAGGUCUGCAGGCACUUGCUGGAGGAAAGUGUUGUAAGAUGAUGGAGCCCCAGGCCAUCUGCAUACUUUGAGUGAUUCCCUCCACCCCUCAUCCAGUACAGAUACAGAAUAUUGUUGGAAACACAUGCACCAUGAGCAAGAUAUAAAACCUCCAGAUUUGAAUAUUAUUUGCUACAAAUGCCUAGUCUAUCUUGACAAAUACAGUGUGCAUAAACAUUGCUUGGAGAGUUCGUUCAAAUCCAUUUCUCAGUUCCCACA
rnacentral:lncRNA from 1 species